rnacentral:lncRNA from 1 species
UAUGCGAAUCACGAAUCUGAGGUCUCCAUUGAACCGAAUCGAAAGUCAUGUGACCAAACACGUCACAUUUAAAUCGCAGUUUUUUGCGUUCAUGUAAUCGCACAGACUGACAUCGAGAUUGCGAUUAGAUUAAUCGUGCAGCACUAUUUAUCAUAUCGAUGUUGAUAUAAUCCUUACAUUAUUAUGUUGUUGUUCAUUUAUGAGUAUGUAUGAUAUGUUCAAACAAAAUAGCAAAACAAAUUAAAGUUUUUUGUUCAACUCAACGUCAGAUGACAUGAAUUGAUCAGCCAGAAGACACGGCCAUCCAAUCUGGCAACCGAGCGAGGGACCCCCAGUUUGGCCCAGAGCGCCACCUAGGGACCGUGAAAACGUCCUGCGUGUAAAAGACACGAACGCUGUACAAACCUCCACUGCGGCUGCGGCCUGGUCAGUGUAGAUGAUCUGCAUGAAGAGCAUAAAGAUGUUCUUACUGCAGCCAUAUAAAAGCGUUUUGUCUAAUAUAGCCGAGUUAAAAACAACAGACGGAUGAGGUGUCUGCAGCUGUAUAAAAAUGGAUAUUUAUGAGGGCAGCAAGCCAUGAGAGGGGCACAGGGGUCAUGUGAGUUGUCAUGGCGACCAGGUUUCUAUAGAAAGCAUGACAUCACAAUGGAACCGUGACGUUCUCGUGGAAACAAGCGGGCAGAUGGACAUUUACUCCCACCAUGGGCUCCUUCUAAAACGUAACCAGAAAAAACAGUUCCAUCUCCGGAUGGUGAGACCACCACCAGAGCACCACCAUCACCCUCCAUCUUCACAUUUGUUUCUCCCAUGAGAUGUUUCUGCUGCUCUGAUGAACGAACACGAUGAUCAGACCCGAUUAAUGCAGUGAGAAAAGCCCACUGCAGAGCGAGAGGGCAGCAUCCUGGCAGCCACGUGACUUCUGUUAUGGUGGCCACGCCCGGCCACGCCCACAGGGCUGUUUUUAUUUACAAAAUGAGGAGUGGAUACAUGAUGUUUAGUUACUGAUGAAGGCUGACUACUGUCACAGAACCAAAACCAUAAAUUUGCACAUUUAGCGUAACAACAUGGCAUUUUACGCCAAGCUGUGCAAACCCAACAUCACCCCCAGCACCGAAGGCAGUGAUCUCGUGGUUCUUCUCCUGCACCACACGCC